GACAUCUGCUGGGAAAGACCGGGUUCGAAGCGACGGACACCUGCGUAGCCCCUGCGGCGCACGAACCGAUCUGUGAAGGCGGUGUGCUCAGUUCAGUUUGUUCAGUGUGUGACUGAAAGCGUUGCGGGGCGGACGUCCCGGGUGCAGUGGUGUGCUACCCCGCGCGCGGUGCGGCCUGUCUCUUCAUACGUCACACUGUGCUGAAUGUGGCAGGGGAUUGAACAGAACCGUAACCCACUGGGGUACCGCUUGGUCUACUUCACUCAAAAUUUUAUUUUUUAUCGUUUAUUUGAUGACGCCGUUAAUUAUAAGUCUGAGUAGUGAAUGCAUGAAUUAGAACGGUAUUGCAGAUAUGUUAGUGGCCUAAUUUGAGAUUUCUGAGGUCUAAUUAUCUCUUACAUAAUAUAUAAAGGAACUCAGUUCGCACCUCACAGAGAACAUAACUCGUCUCCAUUAGAAACGCCGAUCGGUAAUGCUGUUUUGGGAAUCAUAGGGAAACGUUUAAAGCAGACGGUAUAUGUGUUUUGCGGGUUGCAGCUGCGUCGGAACACGUUCGCGGUUGCGUAGAUACGAGACUCGGGUGUGAAUUUAGUGAACAAGAACAAUAUUCUGCUGGAAUAAGAAGCAGGAUCGGUAUGGAUUUGGACGCGAUCUUGCCCGACGUAGGGGAGUUCGGCUCGUACCAGCAGCUGCUUCUCUGGUUUGUCCUUCUCCCCGGGGUACUGCCCUGCGGGUUUCACGCCUACAAUCAACUGUUCAUGGCAGCGAGGCCUGAUCACUGGUGCCGCGUGCCUCAACUCGACGUAUUAGCAAACAUCAGCAUUGAACUCGCGAAGAA